GACGAACGCUGGCGGCGUGCUUAACACAUGCAAGUCGAACGGUGAUGCUCCAGCUUGCUGGAGUGGAUCAGUGGCGAACGGGUGAGUAACACGUGAGCAACCUGCCCCAGACUCUGGAAUAAGCGCUGGAAACGGCGUCUAAUACUGGAUACGAGACUGGCCCGCAUGGGCAUGGUUUGGAAAGUUUUUCGGUUUGGGAUGGGCUCGCGGCCUAUCAGCUUGUUGGUGAGGUAAUGGCUCACCAAGGCGACGACGGGUAGCCGGCCUGAGAGGGCGACCGGCCACACUGGGACUGAGACACGGCCCAGACUCCUACGGGAGGCAGCAGUGGGGAAUAUUGCACAAUGGGCGAAAGCCUGAUGCAGCGACGCCGCGUGAGGGAUGACGGCCUUCGGGUUGUAAACCUCUUUCAGCAGGGAAGAAGCGAAAGUGACGGUACCUGCAGAAGAAGCACCGGCUAACUACGUG
rnacentral:rRNA from 1 species